GGUCGUUGUUUGCUGUUUUCUGUCGUUGCCUGUCCCUGCUCCUGUCCCGUCCUGUUUGUACCUCCAAGAGGCCUGGUUAAGUGUCUUUUUGGGAACCCAGAAUAUGCUUUUAGUGUUCAACCCGUUCACCGACCUUGCAGGCGACGGAGACUCCCUCAAGUGGUGGCUGCUCAUCUCUUUUCCCAACCCACAGAGCGCAGAGGAGAAGAUCUAUAAUCUGCACCACAGCCAUCGGGCUCCUGAAGGGUAAGUGGUGGUGUCUCGACAGCACAGGAGGAACGCUAUCCUUCAAGCCCGAGAAGGUCUACGCUAUAGUGAGAGCGUGUGCUGUGCCACGUAACGUCGCCCGUAAACUCGGAUCCCUAUCCCCAGACAUUUGAGCCAAACGCUGCUGCCGUGCACCAGUGUUUGAAAGUGAUGCGUCGCUUGUGAAAAUACAGUUCUCGGCAUCUGCAGGACUGCAUCUGUGAGGACACGGCUGCUGGAGGGCUGGAUGCACGGGGUGCAGUGGAGAAGCUGGGUGCACAUGGCUCAGCUGCAGCACUGACCUCACUUGGACCCGAAGCAACUACAAGAAACGUUUUAAAUAAAGUCACUUGUUUUGUGAACAGAG